GGCUUAAUGAUUAUAAUUUUAAGUCAAUCUGCCCAAUGAUAUUAUAUUAAAUGGCUGCAGUAUAAUUAACUGUACAAAGGUAGCAUAGUCAAUUGUUUUUUAAUUGGAAACUGGAAUGAAAGAAUUAAUGAGAUAUAUACUGUCUCAUAUAUAUGUUAUUAAGUUAAAUUUUUAGUUAAAAUGCUGAAAUAGAUUUAUGGGACGAUAAGACCCUAUAGAAUUUUAUAUUAAAAUUUAAAAUAUAUUAAUUUUUAGGUUUUAAUAUUUGAUUGGGAGGAUUAAUAAAUUUAAUUAACUUUAUUUUAAAAAUAUACUUUGAUUUAAGGAUUAUAUUAAUGAUUUUGUAUUAUAGAUUAUAAGAAAAAAUUACCUUAGGGAUAACAGCGUAAUAUCUUUUUAAAGACCGAAUUUAUAAAGAUGAUUGCGACCUCGAUGUUGAAUUAAGAUAAAUUUUAAAUGGAGAAGUUUAAUAAUUAAGUCUGUUCGACUUUUAAAAUCUUACAUGAUUUGAGUUCAAAUCGACGUGAGU
rnacentral:rRNA from 1 species